CGAGACAUGUGAGACCCAUUAGGGACCUGGCACCUGCUAGGUUGAAGGGGUGGGGGGGCAAUAUUAGUCCGCAUCGGCUGUCGCUCUCGGGGGCCAAUGCACAGAGCUAGAUCUUCCCAAUAGCAAGGGACCCUGGAAGGGACCUGGAUACCCUCAAGGAACCCCACACAGACAAGCAGGCCCAGCAGCCUCACGUAUAAAACAUUGGACGAACACCCGGGCCGAAACCCCCUUCCUCCACGGGGAAUUCAGGGUGGGGUAACAGACCCCCCCUUACUCGAAAGGCAGCAAAUAAGAUCUGUGACGUG